rnacentral:rRNA from 1 species
UACAGAGGUCUCGAGCGUUGUUCGGAUUCAUUGGGCGUAAAGGGCGCGUAGGCGGCGGGGUAAGUCUGGUGUGAAAUCUCGGAGCUCAACUCCGAAAUUGCACUGGAUACUGCUCUGCUAGAGGGCUGGAGAGGAGAUCGGAAUUCACGGUGUAGCAGUGAAAUGCGUAGAUAUGUGAGGAAGACCAGUGGCGAAGGCGGAUCUCUGGACAGCUCCUGACGCUGAGGCGCGAAGGCUAGGGGAGCAAACGGG